GCCUGGGUGGCUUGGUCGGUUAAGCGUCUGACUUUGGCUCAGGUCAUGAUCUCACAGUCUGUGAGUUCGAGCCCCGCAUCGGGCU
rnacentral:tRNA from 1 species